CAAUAGAAUGGGAGGCUUAAACAUAUGUACCUCUCGUUUUGAAGCAGAGGAAUAUCAAUUGGUAGGCGAGAUAUCGUUUCAGUCGCCCAUUCGAUUGGCGAUUCGAUUGUUGCUCGUCAACAU